UACGAAGGGGGCUAGCGUCGCUCGGAAUCACUGGGCGUAAAGGGUGCGUAGGCGGGUCUUUAAGUCAGGGGUGAAAUCCUGGAGCUCAACUCCAGAACUGCCUUUGAUACUGAAGAUCGUGAGUUCGGGAGAGGUGAGUGGAACUGCGAGUGUAGAGGUGAAAUUCGUAGAUAUUCGCAAGAACACCAGUGGCGAAGGCGGCUCACUGGCCCGAUACUGACGCUGAGGCACGAAAGCGUGGGGAGCAAACAGG
rnacentral:rRNA from 1 species